AACGGCUAUACCAUGCUGAAUAUACCGGUUCUCGUUAGAUCACCGAAGUCAAGCAUCAUUGGGCGCGGCCAGUACUUGGGUGGGUGACCACCUGGGAACACCGCGUGCCGUU
rnacentral:rRNA from 1 species